AGGACAAAGGCGCGAGCGCGAACGUGAGGGGAAUGAAUGAGAGAAUCACGAGGGUAGGUUAAGCCAUACGCAAGCAUGUGCAAGAGGACAGGUAAGGAAGCGGGCUGGCAGCCAGUAAGGCAAAGGACUUUCAUGCUGCAGACCGUCGCACUUUCUCAGGAAAGUGUGCGUGGACGGGAUUGAUGGUAAGGUUGGGAAACAACGUAAUGCGUCGCACUUCCACACGCACUUCCACACACGCACGAUGCGCAGGUGUCGCUUGUCAAGAACUAAAUAAAGUGUCCGCAGACAACCCCCCUUACAUGCGGCAAACAUUCCCCCUGCCCUCCCAGGAGUUGACAGCGGCAUUCGUAAGAGAAUAUUUGCAUGGAGUGAGUUUUACUAUGGUUUUUAUUGCUUCACAAGCGGUCCAGCAGACUAGCAACUCACCGCUACCGGCGGCGGUGGUGACGAUGUCGGUGGCGGCGACCGACGCGUUGGUGGGGGACGAGGCGGAGGCCGGGGUGGCGGUGGGCUUGGCGGUGGGGGCGUCGGCGGCCGUGGACUAGGCGGCGGCGGGCUUGGCGGUGGUGGGUUAGGAGGCGGUGGGCUUGGCGGUGGAGGGCUUGGCGGUGGUGGGCUUGGCGGUGGAGGGUUUGGCGGCGGUGGGCUUGGUGGUGGAGGGUUUGGCGGCGGUGGGCUUGGAGGUGGAGGGCUUGGCGGCGGUGCGCUUGGCGGAUCGGGGCUUGGCGGGUCAGGGCUUGGCGGAUUGGGGCUUGGCGGGUCAGGGCUUGUUGGCAAGUUAGGCCAUGCAG
rnacentral:lncRNA from 1 species